AAAGUCUGACCGAGCAACGCCGCGUGAGUGAAGAAGGUUUUCGGAUCGUAAAGCUCUGUUGUAAGUCAAGAACGUGUGUGAGAGUGGAGAGUUCACACAGUGACGGUAGCUUACCAGAAAGGGACGGCUAACUACGUGCCAGCAGCCGCGGUAAUACGUAGGUCCCGAGCGUUGUCCGGAUUUAUUGGGCGUAAAGGGAGCGCAGGCGGUCAGGAAAGUCUGGAGUAAAAGGCUAUGGCUCAACCAUAGUGUGCUCUGGAAACUGUCUGACUUGAGUGCAGAAGGGGAGAGUGGAAUUCCAUGUGUAGCGGUGAAAUGCGUAGAUAUAUGGAGGAACACCAGUGGCGAAAGCGGCUCUCUGGUCUGUCACUGACGCUGAGGCUCGAAAGCGUGGGUAGCGAACAGGAUUAGAUACCCUGGUAGUCCACGCCGUAAACGAUGAGUGCUAGGUGUUAGGCCCUUUCCGGGGCUUAGUGCCGGAGCUAACGCAAUAAGCACUCCGCCUGGGGAGUACGACCGCAAGGUUGAAACUCAAAGGAAUUGACGGGGGCCCGCACAAGCGGUGGAGCAUGUGGUUUAAUUCGAAGCAACGCGAAGAACCUUACCAGGUCUUGACAUCCCGAUGCUAUUCUUAGAGAUAGGAAGUUACUUCGGUACAUCGGAGACAGGUGGUGCAUGG
rnacentral:rRNA from 1 species